UCCCUAGACCUCGGCCUAGCAGUCUUGCU
rnacentral:piRNA from 1 species